rnacentral:rRNA from 1 species
AGAGUUUGAUCAUGGCUCAGGAUGAACGCUAGCGACAGGCCUAACACAUGCAAGUCGAGGGGCAGCACGGUGUAGCAAUACACGGGUGGCGACCGGCGCACGGGUGAGUAACGCGUAUGCAACCUGCUACUACAAGGGGAUAACCCGUUGAAAGACGGACUAAUACCCUAUAACACAGGGAAUCCGCAUGGAUAUAUUUGUUAAAGAUUAAUCGGUAGUAGAUGGGCAUGCGUUCCAUUAGCUUGUUGGUGAGGUAACGGCUCACCAAGGCAACGAUGGAUAGGGGAACUGAGAGGUUGAUCCCCACACUGGAACUGAGACACGGUCCAGACUCCUACGGGAGGCAGCAGUGAGGAAUAUUGGUCAAUGGACGAGAGUCUGAACCAGCCAAGUCGCGUGAAGGAAGACGGCCCUACGGGUUGUAAACUUCUUUUGUAAGGGAAUAAAGAGUCUUACGAGCUAAGACGUUGCAGGUACCUUACGAAUAAGGAUCGGCUAACUCCGUGCCAGCAGCCGCGGUAAUACGGAGGAUCCGAGCGUUAUCCGGAUUUAUUGGGUUUAAAGGGUGCGCAGGCGGCAUGUUAAGUCGGCGGUGAAAUUUUGCAGCUCAACUGUAAAAGAGCCUUCGAAACUGGCAAGCUUGAGUGUGGAUGAAGUAGGCGGAAUUUGUGGUGUAGCGGUGAAAUGCAUAGAUAUCACAAAGAACACCGAUUGCGCAGGCAGCUUACUAAACCAUAACUGACGCUCAUGCACGAAGGCGUGGGGAUCAAACAGGAUUAGAUACCCUGGUAGUCCACGCAGUAAACGAUGAUUACUGGCUGUUUGCGAUACAAUGUAAGCGGCUGAGCGAAAGCGUUAAGUAAUCCACCUGGGGAGUACGUUCGCAAGAAUGAAACUCAAAUGAAUUGACGG